AACUUACAAAAUCAGAGCCAAUCAACUACAUUUGAAAGAGUCAUGGACCUGACAUAUUGUACUAACCCUAGUGUAUUGUUGCCUUCAUUUGUUUUUAGUAAUUAUUGUUGUCUGGGUUGAUGUCUAAUUAAUAUAUAACCUACCGGUAUGUCUCCAUUUAUUAGAUCUACUGGUUCAACGGUCUAUGUGUGCUACUGCAAUCACUUGGUGAUUAAUGUGAUCCAAUUUUUUUUUUUACAAAAAUCUGCUUUGAAACCACUGAAUUAAUUUCAACCAAACUUUAACUGAUGCUGAGUUCACACGGAAUUCGAAUUUGAUUCGCAUUAACUAUUUCGAAUUAGUUUAAUUUGCAUUUGAAACGUUUUACGUCCUAACGUCAAUUCUAAUUCGAAUUACAAUGCAUGUCAAAUUCGCUUUACUGUCCUAACAUUGUUAACUUUUAAUUCGUAUUAACAAAAAGGUAUUUCUAAUGCGAAUUGGUUAAUUCGAAUUAGCCAAUUUGAAUCAAUUCGAAUUAAAACAGAAGAGUAUGUGAACGCGAUUAGCGAAUUCAAUUUACAUUCGAUUCGAAUUCAAUUCGACAUUUAAUGUACGUGUGAACGAGACAUUAAUGAUCCCUGAAAUGUCUAUAUAAAGUUUAUGAUUUUGUUUUAAACCCCAGCUAAAAAAUUUAAAAAUAAGGAUAAAAUACAUUUAAUAUUCAAUAGAGAACAUCUCACAAUGAUAAAAUACUCAAAAUGCCAAGGUAACCUUCCUACUUUGUGCACCAAAAAUGUCAGAGGACUCUUAUAGGAGUUAUUGACCUUACAUGAGAAUAUUUGACUGAUUUAAGAGUUUUUGUCUAGUCUCAUCCUGAAAACUAUCAAACAUUGGUAGAUACUGUGAACAGCGAAAAUGGUCAGUUAUUAAACUUUUAAGAUAAACAAUAUUGCUAUAAUGACUGGAAGCCUCUGAUGACUGGUAAUGGGCAUAAUUUGCUUUUAAUACUAACAUAGCUGUGAUACUCAAGGCCAAAAUAUUUGAAAAUCCAAAAACUUAUUAAAAAAAAUAAGAAAUGAAAAGCUUAUUAACCAUUAAGAAAUAAAACAAAUAUCUACAGUUUGACAAGGAAUCAGAGCUUUGUAUGAGGAGAUGUAUUCCUUAUUUUAAAAUGAUUUCUAAAACAAAUUUUCAAAUUUUGUAACACCAAAUUUCUUAACUUAAUAUCAGUAUUUAAAAAGAUCAUUUUACUUUACUAAUUUACAAAUUUUUGUCCAUUAUCUUCAAAACUAUAAUAGAUUUGAAGAAAUUUUAACAGCAAAAUAUUUUAUCAAUAGAAAAUCUACAAUAAAAAAAAUGCUCAUUUUUGAAUCCUUAGAUGGCUCCUAAAAGUAGUUAAUGCCCUUUAAUGCUGAUUAUUAGCCUACUUUAAUAGAAAGGCAAAUACUGUUAACAGCAAAAAUGAUAAGUCAACAUUACAUCUUUACACUGACAUCAGAAAUUGCAGGCAAGGCGUAGGGUUCUCCACCACCCAUAAUUUUUCAUACCAUGUACUGCCCAUUCCAAAAUGUUGUUGUCUUUUUGUCUUUUAUCAUUUGUGAUUAUUUUAAUGUAUAAUUAUAAAUUUGUUAUGAAUUUAUGUGCAUGUUUUUCCUCAUUUUUAAUAUAUAUUUUUUUAAAUAAAGUUUUACACAAUUGUUGUUUUUUGUAAUGAAUAAGGCUUAUGGUACUGUCAAAUCAUUGUGUAAUUCAAAUUAGAUAAAAGUGCUUCUCAAAAUUCUCAAUGUAAGUGUUUUGAUCUGUAGAUUUAAA
rnacentral:lncRNA from 1 species